AGCUUUGCGCAGUGGCAGUAUCAUAGCCAAUGAGGUUUAUCCGAGGCGUGAUUAUUGCUAAUUGGCCUACUAUAGAAGAAUGGACGCUUAAAGUGUCAAACUUAGCAGAAAUAGCUAAGAUUUCUGCUUGUUUGAAGGAUUAUUCACAAG